UCACACAACCCAUUUAUGGGCGUGUGUGUGUGUGUACGAGCAGAGGAGAAGAAAAGAGGGGGAGCCCUUCUCAAACCCUAAGCAACGAAUUGGAAGGAUUCUGGCCGAAAUCGAACCUGCAUGAACCUUAAUAGUGAUAAUCUAAGCAAGAUGUAACCAAGGUUUUGAUAGUAAUAUGAUGAACGUGUCAAGGAGAGCUCAAGCAUAGGAG
rnacentral:lncRNA from 1 species